UAACUUUAGUGCUGUCAAGGCGUGAUCAUUUAUGACUGUGCACAAGGUAAAGGUAUUUAACAGAUACUCAUUUAUGACUGUGCACAAGGUAAAGGUGAGGUAUUUAACAGAUACUCAUUUAUGACUGUGCACAAGGUAAAGGUAUUUAACAGAUACUCAUUUAUGACUGUGCACAAGGUAGAGGUGAGGUAUUUAACAGAUACUUUUGUACCAAAGCAACUCCUGGUCAACUGCUUACAAAGUAAGGUGCUGUACCACCAAACCCCAUACACACAUUAAACUAACCCUAACCCUAACCCAUACGCACAUUAAACUGUU
ensembl:lncRNA